CAACCAUGAUGAGGACACUCUAAGAGAAGUUCCUUAAAACGUUCCAUACACCUAGAAAAUGAUUCACUGGGUUUUUGACGAAACUAGAGAAUGUCGUUCCUAAGUUU
rnacentral:snoRNA from 1 species